UUAAAUUGAAGAGUUUGAUCAUGGCUCAGAUUGAACGCUGGCGGCAGGCCUAACACAUGCAAGUCGAACGGUAACAGGAAGCAGCUUGCUGCUUUGCUGACGAGUGGCGGACGGGUGAGUAAUGUCUGGGAAACUGCCUGAUGGAGGGGGAUAACUACUGGAAACGGUAGCUAAUACCGCAUAACGUCGCAAGACCAAAGAGGGGGACCUUCGGGCCUCUUGCCAUCGGAUGUGCCCAGAUGGGAUUAGCUAGUAGGUGGGGUAAAGGCUCACCUAGGCGACGAUCCCUAGCUGGUCUGAGAGGAUGACCAGCCACACUGGAACUGAGACACGGUCCAGACUCCUACGGGAGGCAGCAGU
rnacentral:rRNA from 1 species